ensembl:lncRNA
GACCUGUGAGGGCCCUAAUCCAAAUUAUAACCUGAGUGAAAAUUGUGCCUCAAAGGUCAAGAGGGUGACGCAAUUUUUAAACUACAUGGCGAAGAAUGAGACCUACCAGUCCUCUCUCAUUUUCCUGACAGACCAUGACAAAAUAAGGAAAUGGGUUCAAUUCCUCCAGAAGAACAAGGCAAUCACCACAGUCAACCACUACACCUUGACUAUUGGUGCAUUUCUUAAAUAUUCUGAGGAGACCCCUCCAUCUGGCUGCCGGCUGACCGUGAACCAAUGGAGGGGGAUCAACCGGUUGAUGAAGGGCAUUAGCAAGUCCAUGAGACGACCAGUUUCCCUUCACCAGAUAAAGGUGAAGGACAACAAGGAAGGCAAGGUGGUGUCCAAAAAGAGCCUGCUGCAGUGCCAGUCUCUUGCCAAGGCCAAAAUCCCUCAAGUGCUGAGUAAGUUUUUCUCAAUCUGUGAUGUCACUGUUUUUACACACUUAUAGACGUCAGAGAUGUAUAGAAUGCAUUAUGGAGUGGGAUUAUGAAGCUGCCUUUUUUUAUUUUCAUGUUCACAGAAACAUUGGAAGAAACAAGGACACAGAGGAAUCAGUACAGGUUUUAUGGGUACCUGUGUGCCUACUUUACAUCCAUAUACGGCCACAGACCAGGCCUAUAUAAAAACAUGUUGGUGAAAGAGGUGGAGGAGGCAAAAUGUGACCAGUCUGGGGUGUACCUGAUCAAUGUAAGUCUAUGAAAUACAGCUGGCUGUGUUUAUUUGUUUGUUUGCUUGGUUGGUUAUCUUUGGAAACAAUUGCAGUCGCAGGAGCGUAAUGUGUUUUUUUGUGUUUUUUCUCUGUUCAAUUUCUAUUAGGUGGGGGAACACAAAACAAAUCGGGAGUACGGCAUGGUCCAGAUGUCGCUGACAAAGGAGGAGUACAGCUGGUUUUCCGACUUCCUCAAAUUCAAGCACUGUCUCUUAGGGGGAAAGAAGGCCCAGCACUUCUUUUUCAAUUCAACAAACACUCAGAUGAAGAACCUGCCUGCCUACCUGAGGGAGGUGUGGAAGGAGAUGGGUCUGCCCGAAUGUCCUUCAUUCACUGACCUGAGGACCUCCAUUGUCACUCAUGUAGGUCAGAUUAGAUAGGAAUCUAAUUAAUGUAAGAUCCUAUUCUAUUGUUGUCUGAAGUAAUAUCAAUAAUAUCAUAUAUUUGUGUGUGUGUGUGUGUGUGUGUGUCUUACAGGUAAAAAACAUGCUCCCAAAGGUUGACAGGGAAAGGGUGGCCAACUUCAUGUGCCACAACAUCCAGACGGCAGACAAAUAUUAUGCCAUGAAUUUAAAUCCAACCCAAGCAAAUGAAACCAGGGCACUCUUUGAGGCUGCACUGAAGGGGGAAGAUAACACAGUCGCCGCAGAGAACCAGCCCUCCACCUCAGGAGAAAGAAAGCAGAAGGUGAGAGAGGAUGCCUCCCUCUCCGACGGGAGCACCACCCCUGAAGAGACCAAGGUGAUGUACCAGGAGUCUGGCACGUCCGCCGGUGACUCGGAAGAGGAGGAAGAGGAUGAAGAUGAGGAACAGAUGGCCAGACAACUUCCAGUAAGAUCAGCUAUUCUGACAGGACACAUUUGAUUAUCAAAAUGUACUUGUAAACUAUGUAACAGUCAAGUGUGAAUUCUGAGAUAUAUCUAAUUUCUUGUGUUUGCUCUGUCAGGAGACACCUUCCAAGGUGACCAAUCCUCAGGUGGAGAUGGAACUUACCCCAAAGAGGAAGCGGAGCAUCUGCACACGCCGCAUGGAGGUCGCCAUCAGCCCCAUGCUAGUCUCACCCCUCAAAGUGAGGCUCAAGUCGCCCCCCCACCAGUCCCUCAUUGUCACAUUAAAAGGGAUGCAACAACUAAACUCAAAUAAAGUCAGACUAAAAAAUGCCAUUGCCUCAAGGAGGUUAAAGCUGCAGGAGAAGGUGCAAAAGAGAGGAGGGGACCCCUGAUGCAGCUCGAAGGAAGGGGAGCCGACCAACAACAAGACUUCCUCUUCCAAAUAGUCAUGUAGAUUGUUUUAGACUCUCACAUUUAUACUGUUCUGAUUUUGUUUGGUUUGAUUUUCAAUUUUGGUGUGCUUGUUUACAUUUUAGAAGUGUAAAAUGUGUGUAAUUUAGUCUAACUGUCUGUUCAAUUUUCUAUUUUGGUGUGAUUCUUUAUAAUGUAAAGGUUUGUUCUGUUUUAUUAAAUAACUAGUUUAGUAAUUAUUUGUGUUGUGCUUUCUUUAAGGUUAUAUUCUAACUGUCUGUUCAAUUUUCUAUUUUGGUGUGAUUCUUUAUAAUGUAAAGGUUUGUUCUGUUUUAUUAAAUAACUAGUUGAGUAAUUCUUUGUGUUGUGCUUUCUUUAAGGUUUAUAUUUAGUUUGUAACUUAAUUUGUAAGUGUUAAACAUUCACUGUCUUGUGUUGUUGUCUGUGAAGGUAGGAACAAAUAUUUAGGCAUUAUUGGCAUGGGAAUCAUAUGUUUACAUUGGCAAAGCAAAUUAAGUAGAUAAUAAACAAAAGUGAAAUAAACAAUAAAGUCCUGCUGUAGACUGUACUACUGCUGUUCAGGAAGCACAAUUUGAACUAGAAACUUACACAGACAGGCUGAAAUAAACACUAAAAAAUAACAAAUGGCAUCACCGUAAUAUCCCGCUUGACCGUAGCUCGCUCGGUCUGAGCGCAGCGACCAUGAGAAAAGUAAGCCCAAAAUGAAGCCUGCCCCACAACGUCAUUUGCUUUUGGGUGACAGUGAGAGAACCGUUAGGUUUAGAAGGACAAUUCAACCACAGGAAUGUUCCUAACGUCCUUCCGAUCCAUGCAAGCCUUACCUUGACCGUGUGGCAUCAACCCUUAAAAAUAAAACAGGGUUUUUUGAUCUCACAGAUUACAAUGACAUCUCUCCCCAUAGGAAUACAUUGACAGCUCCCCUAAAUUCAACCUGGAGCCUAUGUGGGUUAAUAAUGCCUUAUGAACCUGUCUUCAAUGCCAAUCCAUCAGGCCACUAUGAGGUCUACCUGUGUCGAUUCUAAGCUUCCUGGAGCAACCGGAAGUGGUUAAAUUCACCCAAAAUGUAUUUUGAUGUACAUAACCUGCAAAUGUGAAAAUGACUGCAUUCAACCCUGGGUAGAUCAGUCAAUUCUUAACAUAAAGACUUUAGGAUUCUCAGGAUUCUGUAAGAGAAUACCCAAAGCAAGAUAUUUGUUUACCUAUAGCUUCCUGUGCCAACCGGAAGUGCCUUUAAUUGGUGUCUCAGGGGCUUCUCCUUAGGAGGGAUGGGGACACCACCACGGGACAGACCCCACACUCAUCGCUAGAGAUCGAACUUCAGACUCCCUUCAAAACCACUGAACCCCUCAACACACCGAAAGAGAUUACGGUGCACACCCUUAGAGGGAGCCGGAACAGGAUAACUCCCUCCACCAUCACAGAGACACAGAGGAGGAGGAACUAUCCAACACCCAGGGAGAGAGAACAAGUGACGUCAGUCGAACACAGUCAGAAAGAGGAGGUGGAAGAGGCGUUAGAUAGAGGAGGAUAUUACCCCAGAGGCCAUUCCUCCUGUUCAUGUGAGCAAGAAAGAGCAGAAGGCUUCUGAUCAGCCAAAUGGCAGGCAGAGGGAGAGGUCAUAGUGAUUCACACCCACAGAGAGAAAGACAACCCACACAACCUCUUGGUUGAGAUGAACCACACAGGUAGAGGCAGAGGGCCUUCAGGGCUAGCCAGUCAGCCUGCCUGCUCUGAUCCUCAAGUCAAUUGUAUAUAAAUUCAUGUUCAUUAAAGAUUUUUAUUCAAGAAUUGACAAGUCCCAUUUCGUUAAAGGGGUCACCCUUUUCCUGCUACAAACACAACUUGCAUAUCAUCACAGACUAGGCCAAAACGUUAAUCUUUUAACCUUGCCUGAAUAAAACAAUGCAUUUUUUAUAGUGAGCAAGAGUUGCUCCUUUUCCUUUUCUAUGAUGAUUCAAAUAUUUGGUUGCACCUCAACUGAACGUUGGUUGAGGG